UACUGUUUUGCGGAAGAGAUCGGGUUUAUCCCGGCGCCGAAGGAGCAACCGCCCCGGAAACUCUCAGGCACCAAGGACCGCAAGGCUUCU
rnacentral:ncRNA from 2 species